CAUUCAGCGUUUAAAUAAGACAUGGAGAUGGGUGUCCAGGUGGGUAGGUCUCUCUCCAUGAGAGCACCACCUGGGUGGACCAGACACCCCCCACAGGACUGCCAUUGCCCUUCAGAAUCAGUUUCCCGAAGUGCCAGACCCUGACUUGAACUAAAUUGAAGAUUUUCAAGUGUUUGCUUUGCAGCAACAGAACUCUCUGUCCACCUGAAAUCAAGAAUCUUUAAAACAAGAGGAACUGCAAAAAAUUUAAAACCUUGUGCAGAAUGGACCAGUGGGAGAGGAGGAAGCUGCUCACGGAGAUGAGUGGAGGCUCGAGAU